ACAUGGAGUCCAUCUUCCAUGAGAAACAAAAAGGUUCACUUUGUGCUCAGCAUUGCUUGAAUAAUCUAUUACAAGGAGAAUAUUUUAGCCCCGUGGAAUUGUCUUCUAUUGCACAGCUAGAUGAAGACGAGAGGAUGAGAAUGGCUGAAGGAGGAGUUACUAGUGAAGACUAUUGCACAUUUUUACAGCAGCCUUCUGGAAAUACGAAUGACAGUGGUUUUUUCUCUAUUCAAGUUAUAAGUAAUGCUUUGAAAGUUUGGAGUUUGGAACUAAUCCUGUUUAACAGUCGGGAGUAUCAGAGGCUCGGAAUCGAUCCCAUAAAUGAAAGAUCAUUUAUAUGCAAUUAUAAAGAACACUGGUUUACAGUUAGAAAAUUAGGAAAACAGUGGUUCAACUUGAAUUCUCUCUUGACGGGUCCAGAAUUAAUAUCAGACACAUACCUUGCACUUUUCUUGGCUCAGUUACAACAGGAAGGUUAUUCUAUAUUUGUUGUUAAGGGUGAUCUGCCAGACUGUGAAGCUGACCAACUUCUACAGAUGAUCAGGGUCCAACAGAUGCAGCGACCAAAACUUAUUGGUGAAGAAUUAGCACAACUAAAGGAACAGAGAGUCCAGAAAACAGAUCUGGAACAAGCCUUGGAAGCAAAUGAUGGAUCAACAACAUUAGACGAAGAAGAGGAGGACUUGCAGCGGGCUCUGGCACUAAGUCGCCAACAGAUUGACAUGAUGGAGGAUGAAGAAGCUGAUCUCUGCAGGGCUAUUCAGCUCAGUAUUCAAGGUGGUUCCAGAAAUAUAUCUCAAGAUAUUCCACAGACAUCAAGUACACAUCUUACUUCAGAAGAGUUACGGAAGAGAAGAGAAGCCUACUUUGAAAAGUAA